CUGAGUGGGGUUAGGGAGGGGCAGAGGGGGUGUUGUCAGAACUGACCCCGAGGUAUUAUUUUGGGAGACAAAUGAUCAGCAGCUGCCCCCUCCCUGGGCAGCAGGAGCCACCCUCAGCCACCUGCACACAGCGAACCGGGGAAACUGCUGCGAGGAGCGGGCCGUGUGCUCUGGCUGUGCUGUAUCCUGGCAGAGGUUACAGGGUAUGCCAGCCUGGCCCUGGCACAUGUGACAGAUAGGAAAGGGAGGCCUCUUCUCUCACCCACCUGAGGGGCAGGAGGUUCCGGGCACUGGGGUGCCAGAGGUGGGGGCUGCAUUGCACAGAUAAGUAUUGGAACGUUCACCGGCUAACAUCUAAUUGAGCACUAAGCUGUCUGCUGCAAAACUCACUUUUGUUUUUUCUUUUGUUUUCUUUGGCAAUGAAUAAAACAAAUAAAAUAC